rnacentral:tRNA from 1 species
GUUUUAAUAGUUUAAAUAAAACACUGGUCUUGUAAACCAAUAUUAAGUCCGACUUUUAAAACU